rnacentral:rRNA from 1 species
GGAUUGGUAGUCCGUACGAGCGCACCCUUGUCCUUAGUUACCAGCACGUUAAGGUGGGCACUCUAAGGAGACUGCCGGUGACAAACCGGAGGAAGGUGGGGAUGACGUCAAGUCAUCAUGGCCCUUACGGCCUGGGCUACACACGUGCUACAAUGGUCGGUACAAAGGGUUGCCAAGCCGCGAGGUGGAGCUAAUCCCAUAAAACCGAUCGUAGUCCGGAUCGCAGUCUGCAACUCGACUGCGUGAAGUCGGAAUCGCUAGUAAUCGUGAAUCAGAAUGUCACGGUGAAUACGUUCCCGGGCCUUGUACACACCGCCCGUGGGGCGGGGGCGGCGGGCCGGGCGCGGGGC